rnacentral:rRNA from 1 species
GAUGAACGCUGGCGGCGUGCUUAACACAUGCAAGUCGAACGGAAAGGCCCAAGCUUGCUUGGGUACUCGAGUGGCGAACGGGUGAGUAACACGUGGGUGAUCUGCCCUGCACUUCGGGAUAAGCCUGGGAAACUGGGUCUAAUACCGGAUAGGACGAUGGUUUGGAUGCCAUUGUGGAAAGUUUUUUCGGUGUGGGAUGAGCUCGCGGCCUAUCAGCUUGUUGGUGGGGUAAUGGCCUACCAAGGCGUCGACGGGUAGCCGGCCUGAGAGGGUGUACGGCCACAUUGGGACUGAGAUACGGCCCAGACUCCUACGGGAGGCAGCAGUGGGGAAUAUUACACAAUGGGCGCAAGCCUGAUGCAGCGACGCCGCGUGGGGGAUGGCGGCCUUCGGGUUGUAAACUCCUUUCGCUAGGGACGAAGCGUUUUUGUGACGGUACCUGGAGAAGAAGCACCGGCUAACUACGUG